ACGCGUGAAGCCAAUCAGAAAGUGUUUGUUUAAUGGCUUGAUUGGCGUCGCGCGUGCGACGAAUCAAACGGAUGUUUAUUUAAUGGCGUGAUAUGCAUCGCACGUGUGACCAAUCACGGAAGUUUGUUUAGUGGCGUGAUAUGCCGCUAGACGCGUAGACGUUAAGUAAAGUUAAACUCUUUCAUUUCUUGUGUUCCAUGUAUUCUUUUUCUGUUGCAAGUAAAUACAGUGUUUAAGUCCAGUGUGACAAUAUGUUUAGAAGCAGAAGGAAAAUGUGACGUUUAGGUUAUUAAUGCAACUGGAACAACUCUACUAUUUAAAGACGUUCUCUAUGUUCCUGGCUUGGGAAUAAAUCUAUUUUCUAUCAGUGCCGCCUCGGAAAAAGGUGCGGAAGCUGUCUUCUACGAAGAUGGACAACUUGAAAUGGCGGGUCAGUGAAAAACUUUAUUAUCUGGAUGUAACAGCGAAGAUCCAAGAAACACAUUUCACCUCGGACAUCAUUAAUGGUGCCUACAGUGUAACCGUUACCAAACAGGACAAAACUAAGGCAAGGGAUGAAUACAACAAAAUUCUAACGAUAGAACGUCAAUUGGUGGAAAACUGCUGCACAAAUAAAGAAGAAAUGGGAAAAUACGGUGAAAAGUACAGAAGUGGAAAUUUUUAAGUACGUACAAUGCAUCAGUGAAGGAAACAGGUACUUGUGGUAUACAUUAACUUUUGUUUUGAAGAUUGUUUGAAAGAAUGAAGUUUUCAAAGAAAUGUAUGAUCAAGCAUGUGGAAAUGACAACCCAUCAGUGUCUGGUGAACAGAUACUGGAAAAUUUAAUUAAAUUGAAUUUUUCCAUUUAGUUCAUAAGCAUACCCACUUUAUAUUUCAAAAGGGAGGAGUCGAAUCAAAAACAAGUGAAAGAGUGGUUGAAAACCCUACAACUGUUUUAGUUCAACGUGAAUGUGAGGACGACAAGGAUACGUUUGAAGGUUCCGAAGAUCAAAAUACAAUCAUUAUUCAAUUGUUUAUUCCUUGUAUGAGGAGUAAGUCACAAGUGAAAUGACUAAAAUAUUUUCCGAACAGCCAUAGUUUAUUCUUAUAUGGUGUACUGUACUGGGCUGAUGGGGCAAUGUAGUUUAGCAGCAAUGAAUUGCAGCCUCGGUCAGUUCGCCAUCAACCAGUCAUUCUUCAAAGUCUCCAGCGACAAUGUUGAAAGGGAAAACGAUUCGUCAAAUGAUGAGUACUACCAAGAAAACAAUUUGCAAUGAUCUCACAUUGAGUUCUGGGUAAACCAGUUUUGGACGAUCGACUGGAACUGUUGUAUGUGAUGAUGAGAGUAAGGGGGAUUCAGGCAAAUCCUAUAGAAGAUUCAGAAAAAAAUGACAAUCUAUUCAAAGCAGUAAACAACUUCAAGGAUUACUGUUGAUUGUCACUCUGUUUCAUCCAAAAAAUAAGCAUACACUGGAAAAAAGAAUCAUGAGUAAUCCUGUUUUAAAGUUAUCAUUAACAGAGGAAAUGACUAUUGGUAAUUGUUCAUCUAAGUUGGAACCCUAAGCAAAGAAUUUGAGUUUUGUCCCUUGCACUUUGUAAUAUAGUGGAUACUUCUGCUAUGAGCAUCACGAUUUGAAAUAUGUCACCUUCCAAUACGAUGCCAUUAUCUUUAAAUUCUGGUUGGUGCCUAGCUUUGGCGAUGUUGUGUAACCGUCUUAAUGAUAGAUGGCAAAAUUAUUUCACUGUAUAAUUUCAGUCUAAAAUUAGGUAUAGUAGUAUCGAAUGUUGUGUAUAUGGUAGACUACUUGACUGUCAUACGGGACACCCGUGUUCGAAUCCGAUGAUAAAAUAAUGUUUUUAGCGAUUUUUUGGUAGAGCAAAAAGUCGUCCCAGUGAACGCCAAAAUGGAAGCGUUGGUGACCAUAAAAAUUCGUGUAUUAGAAAAGUUUUUGCCGGUCAUCAACACCUGCUAAAAUCAUCUUUAAGUCGUCAUUGUAGGAUUUCAGGACAGAAUAAAGAAAUCCUAGUAGUGCCAUGAACGGGCACUACUAGUUACACUGAGGCUAUCUUUAAAAGGUACUUGUGUUUACAUACAACGUUCCUGGUAAUUUCAAACGUUUGAAUAAAAAUAAGUAAGGGUCAGAAUUCAUAUUUGAAUUAGGCGCGUCAUCAAUAGGGCCGCCGCAAUGGAUGUCGGGAAGGGGGGUAAAUUUUACUGUAAUUUUUGGUUCUUAAGCUAUAGAAAUCUAAUAGGAUUUAGAACAUGAAAUGCAAUGGAUCUGUAUAUUGUAGGUUUAGUCUUGGCUCUAGAAAGCCUUUUACAAUCCUUACACAGUAGAAUAUUCCAAUAGUUUAGACACACAAAUAUAAGAUGACUUAGUUAGUCGUGGACAAGAAGAAGAACGAGAAGAAGAUAUCGACACAGACAAAGUAAGUAGGACAACUCGACGACGUAUUGAUGACUGUCAAACGUCGUUGGUCAUGUCUGUGUCUUCUGCUUCUCAGAAAGCGCUAAGCCAAUACGCAGUAGGCUUCAUUAAAAUCGAAGAAAACUAUCAUAUCAAAACAUUCUAGAGAUAAUAAAGAAUCCCAAAAACAUAUUUUCUGUUUAGUUUGGUCUAUUUUAAUAACCAAACAACGUACCAGAAAAUGUCUGUUUUUAGUCAUUCCCCACCCAAUUCUUUUUUGUAAAUUAUUGACAACUAAAGAAAUCCUAUCACGAUGAGAAUUUUUUUUUUCUGUAACGCAUAACUCGGCCUUAUAAAAAAUUUUUCUUCUCGUUUUAGGAUAUUUUCUUUAUCAAUUUUUUACAAAACAAAAUUGCGGAAGUCGAAAGCUCUUGAUGAGAGUUAUCCAAUGCCGUAAAAUUUAUUAUCUUUGUGGUUUUAGUUUGGAUGUUAUUAAUUAAACAAUUUUGUCAAUUUGGGGGGGGGGAGGGAGAAUAACGUAGGUACACACCGAAAUUUACGUAGAUCGUUUGGAAUAUUUACUUCUUUUAAAUAAAUUAAUUUGGUAGUAUUCGUGAUCCUCUUGUCGCGAGGAACACGAUUACAAUAAAAACAACGUUCAUUAACAUAGUUUAUCAUCGUAAUUUGAGAAAUAUAAAUGACCAAUCGUGGAAGUGCACGAAGAUGUCGUACUCGAUCAUUUUUAGGUGCCAGCAGACGUGAAAGAAGCUCACCGAUUUUGGAGCACGCUCAGAGCUAUCCGCUCACACCCGUAAAACGAGCGGCUCGCGCUCUCUGCUCAUCAUUUGAAAAAAGAGCGCGAGCCGCUCGCAAAAGCUUUUUUUCCGCUCUUCAAAAUUUUGUUGCUGGAUGUUGACUAAAAAUUUCCGUUUUUCAUAUACAUAUUCCAUUUUAACACGUGUAUUGUAAUUGAAUACAUGUAGUAUUUUACA
rnacentral:lncRNA from 1 species